rnacentral:rRNA from 1 species
AUGCAAUGUGAAGCCCCGACUCCAGUCUGCAGCAACCAAGGGGUUCAGUUGCUCGGGUCUGUAUAUAUGUGCUGUAAUAAGUUGACUGCUACGUUUACAAAGGUAAAUGGAUAUCGUCUCAAAUUGCUAACCUUACUUGCUGAAUAUGUAUAUAUGUAUUAUUUUCUUGCCCACUCAGUGUUAGCAAUAUUUCUUGAGAGUAUUCUCCCUGCUUGCUACUUCUGGCCUGCACUUCAAGCAGGAAAGGGGUUAAUAUUCGGUAAGCCAGGUUGCAUUUCAUUGCUGACUUGGCCACUAAUCUGGUUAAUACAUUGA